rnacentral:rRNA from 1 species
UACGAAGGGGGCUAGCGUUGCUCGGAAUCACUGGGCGUAAAGGGUGCGUAGGCGGGUUUUUAAGUCAGGGGUGAAAUCCUGGAGCUCAACUCCAGAACUGCCUUUGAUACUGAAGAUCUUGAGUGCGGAAGAGGGUCGUGGAAUUCCCAGUGUAGAGGUGAAAUUCGUAGAUAUUAGGAAGAACACCGGUGGCGAAGGCGGCCCACUGGAUCGGUACUGACGCUGAGGUGCGAAAGCGUGGGGAGCAAACAGG